UUAGCCCACCGGUUCUGCUCUGGUUUUUACUUCUUGUCACCUUUCUCUACCGUUAAUAUAAAUAUCUUCAACCUUGUUCUCAAAAUCUAAAUUUUCUUUUCACAUGCAAACAAACAGCAUAUAAACCAUGGACCAACACUUGAUGAGCAACAAUAGUAGAAACGCGGUUCAAAAUCGCGAGACAUUUCACAAGUUUUUCGAGUCAUGGCUUGUUGAACAAAA